UACGAAGGGGGGCUAGCGUUGCUCGGAAUUACUGGGCGUAAAGGGCGCGUAGGCGGUCGUGACAAGUCACUUGUGAAAUCUCCGGGCUUAACUCGGAACGGUCAAGUGAUACUGUCGGACUAGAGUACAGAAGGGGCAACUGGAAUUCUCGGUGUAGCGGUGAAAUGCGUAGAUAUCGAGAGGAACACCUGCGGCGAAGGCGGGUUGCUGGGCUGAUACUGACGCUGAGGCGCGAAAGCCAGGGGAGCGAACGGG
rnacentral:rRNA from 1 species